rnacentral:rRNA from 1 species
GAUGGGCCAUNCNGCGUGAGUGAUGAAGNNUNNNGGGGUNGUAAAGCUCUUUNGCCAGGGAUGAUAANGACAGUAUCUGGUAAAGAAACCCCGGCUAACUCCGUGCCAGCAGCCGCGGUAAUACGGAGGGGGUUAGCGUUGUUCGGAAUUACUGGGCGUAAAGCGCACGUAGGCGGAUCAGAAAGUUGGGGGUGAAAUCCCGGGGCUCAACCCCGGAACUGCCUCCAAAACUCCUGGUCUUGAGUUCGAGAGAGGUGAGUGGAAUUCCGAGUGUAGAGGUGAAAUUCGUAGAUAUUCGGAGGAACACCAGUGGCGAAGGCGGCUCACUGGCUCGAUACUGACGCUGAGGUGCGAAAGUGUGGGGAGCAAACAGGAUUAGAUACCCUGGUAGUCCACACCGUAAACGAUGNAUGCCAGUCGUCGGGUAGCAUGCUAUUCGGUGACACACCUAACGGAUUAAGCAUUCCCGC